AGGGAAUCUUCCACAAUGGACGCAAGUCUGAUGGAGCAACGCCGCGUGAGUGAGGAAGGUUUUCGGACCGUAAAGCUCUGUUGUUGGUGAAGAAGGAUAGAGGUAGUAACUGGCCUUUAUUUGACGGUAACCAACCAGAAAGUCACGGCUAACUACGUGCCAGCAGCCGCGGUAAUACGUAGGUGGCAAGCGUUGUCCGGAUUUAUUGGGCGUAAAGCGAGCGCAGGCGGAAGAAUAAGUCUGAUGUGAAAGCCCUCGGCUUAACCGAGGGAUUGCAUCGGAAACUGUUUUUCUUGAGUGCAGAAGAGGAGAGUAGAACUCCAUGUGUAGCGGUGGAAUGCGUAGAUAUAUGGAAGAAUACCAGUGGCGAAGGCGGCUCUCUGGUCUGCAACUGACGCUGAGGCUCGAAAGCAUGGGUAGCGAACAGGAUUAGAUACCCUGGUAGUCCAUGCCGUAAACGAUGAGUGCUAAGUGUUGGGAGGCUUCCGCCUCUCAGUGCUGCAGCUAACGCAUUAAGCACUCCGCCUGGGGGAGUACGACCGCAAGGUUGAAAC
rnacentral:rRNA from 1 species